rnacentral:rRNA from 1 species
GUAGGUGGCAAGCGUUGGUCCGGGAAUUAUUGGGGCGUAAAGCGCGCGCAGGUGGUUCUUUGAGGUCUGAUGUGAAAGCCCCCCGGGCUCAACCGGGGAGGGGUCAUUGGAAACUGGGGAACUUGAGUGCAGGAGAGGAAAGUGGAAUUCCACGUGUAGCGGUGAAAUGCGUAGAUAUGUGGAGGAACACCAGUGGCGAAGGCGACUUUCUGGCCUGUAACUGACACUGAGGCGCGAAGGCGUGGGGAGCAAACAGGAUUAGAUACCCUGGUAGUCCACGCCGUAAACGAUGAGUGCUAAGUGUUGGGGGGUUUCCGCCCCUCAGUGCUGCAGCUAACGCAUUAAGCACUCCGCCUGGGGAGUACGGUCGCAAAGACUG